GCUAUCUCCAGCUACGAGCGGGAGCCGCUUCCUACUACUCUUCGGAGAGAUCCACAGUAAAGGAAUUUCCUCAUUUUGCCUUAUUUAUUUGGGUGUUUAUCGAUCCGAGUGCCGGGUGUUCAUUUUCUUCCAACAUUCUCCCUCUGUUCCUUUAUAUAAGAUGUAUUUAUUUUUUAAAAAGUCAAACGAGUGCAAGUUUGACUAAGGUUUUAAAAAUAUAUAUUAAUAUUCACAAUACGAAGUUUAUAUCAUUUGAUCCGUCAUGAAAAGUAGUUUCGUAUUUUACUCCUAGGUAUUGCAGAUAUUGUUAUUUUAUUCUAUAAUCUUGACCAAACAUUCAAAUCGUUGAUUUGCACGAAAACCAAUACACCUUAAAUUCUUGAAGGGAGCAUGGCACAUCAGUGGUGCCUGACCCCUCGAGGACAUGAUUGAGUAAAUGAUGCCAUCCAGGCUACACACAUUAGUUGGGCUCCCGUUGCAUGGUAUCCGUUAAAGCCCGUGCCAUAGGCCAGAAGCCAUCCUCGACCAGCUGGCACCCAUACGGCACAGAGGAUGGUAUUUAUUACUCCCGUCACUUUCCAUUAAUAAAGUUGUAAAUAAUUACCCACCAUUGCCAUCCAUAAGUGGAAAAAACGUUUCGCUAAAGAUCUGAAAAAAGACAUUAGAAAAAAGAUCGAAAAGAGAAAGAGCUACCCGACCCAACCCUUCACGACCCUGCCUCCCAAAUCCCAAUCCCAUCUCGACUCCAGCGCGCCGCCACCUCUUGCCCCGCCCCGCCCCGCUGGCGCUCCGCCUCCCGUCGCCGCACGCCGUCGCCCCUCCCUCGCCGCGCCGCCGGACCGCCUACCAUCGUCGCACGCUGCCAUGGCCUACCCUGCGGCCGCGCCUACCCCUACCCCAAGUGCCCCCACACCCGCGCCCAUCACCGACGUCCAUGCGCGCGACCUGUUUCUUCGUUGCCGGGCGGCUGCAGGAGGUGGCCGGCGUCGCCCCGUCAUCAAAUCCCCUAGCCGCUCGAUCUCAUCCGCCGCAUGCUGGCUUCACGUACAGGAUUGACACGCCGGCCCUAUAUCCGGCGACCCGCGGCUACUCCUCCCAGCCCCGGAUCUGCUCUCCCGCCACCUGCUACCCACUGCUUCAAUGAUCCACGACAAGGGAUGAUGACCAACUCGGCUGCCCCCUUCCCCGUGCAGCUGCCUCUGAGCCUGCAGCAGCCUUCGCACGAGGCCACUACGGCACCACCUAUGCUGUCCUGAAGUUCCGUCAGAUUCGUCAAUUUCAGUUUCAUCAGUUUUUGUCAGAUUAAGUUUCAUCAGAUUCAUAAAAUUCAGUUUCGUCAAAGUUUCAGUUGUCAGUUAAUUUCUCGUGCACGUUGGCGCUCGGCGCUCGACGUCGUCCACUUCCUCACAUCACUCGAGCCCAAGUGCGUGCAGGUUACACCAGCCUUGAUUUAUAUAUCUACCGUCCAUUGAUCAGUGACAUGAAAAGGUUGGGCGCUCUGAGCUAGAACAUAAGCUGAUUGAUGAGAUGAAUUAAAAUGCUUCUGAUUGGUUAGACCCUCAAUAUUCCAAACUGAAGUCCAAGGAGGAAGGAUCAGGAAUAGCAGAUUUCCAAUGGACGCUGGUGUUGUUGGCUGACAUCUCCGGGGCUGUACAUCAUGAUGGUUACCAAGACACGACAACGAUCUAAAUGCUACAGACCUGAAUGAGAUAACAUGACUGCAGGCCGUUGCUGAUUUGCGUUCGAAGAGGUGCAACAACCAGAUAGAAGCAACUGAGGUAAUUGCCGAUUGAAAAAAAAUACAUGAUGCACUGAUGGAUUAUCAUGUAUAUAAUGCCUGUUAUUGGAAAGAGUGAUGUUUUGCUCUGAACUUGUUGGUGUAAAUUUUUGGCAUUUUCCAUUGCUCUUCAGUGCACUAAAGAAUAGUGAAAUCUUGGCAUCCGAUUCCUUUUGCAGGCUAUGCUUUUAACUCAACCAAAUCUGCAUUGUUAGUUGCUCUUAUAGUCUGUUUGUAGCUAAUUGGGGGACAAACAUGGGCAAUGAGCAGCUUAUUUUGAUGACAGUGCAAUCAAGGACUCACAUGUUCACUGAUGAAUCUACCUCUAUUUGGUACUGUGUAUAUACAUGAAAAUAGUAGCAUCGUCUUUGCAUGGUUCUUUUCCGAAUCAGCAACACUUUAUGAGGGUCUUCAUCGGCAAUGUACAUAGUGAUGCAUAACUGCUGGUUUGAAUUAUUUGGAUGUUUCAGUUGUCAGACAUGUAUGUGCAGAGAGUUGAGGCUUUGAAAUUAGAUAAUAUAUCUAAUGAAUAUGCAUGUUUAUUCAUGGAACUAUGCUCCAUCUGUUUGAUCAAUUUGUUCGAUGCAUGCUCAUUCAUGUGUUGUCAUAGUGACUUGCCUGCGCUCAUUGUUGAUCGCAAAGAAGUGAGUUGGUCCAGAAAUUGCAGCUUAGAUGGAGCUCGGCAGGAUGGCUAGACAGGCCCAGCUUGGUAUUAGUCUUCUCUAAAAUUUUAUGUAGAAGUUUUUUCCUAGAUCCAAGUACAUUGUAUCAUUAUUUUGCAGGUGUGAUCCACAGAAUAGAUCACAUUUUCUAUGAUUAUAAUUUAUUUACUCAUGUUCAUACUAAA